rnacentral:lncRNA from 1 species
AGUGGAAGUGUUAAUGCGGUUAUAGUUCCAACUUUGACAGAAUUGCAGAGGAGGAACCGGACUGACCGCUCCCACCUUCUUGUCCCCUUCCUAUAUCUCCGGGACGCCGUAGAAAAAUUUAAAAUCCUUUCCAAUCGUCCGUUUACCAACCAAAAAUGCAUUCGACAAAGCAUUCUGAUACGUCGUCGUUCCACCAGCCGCUCCUACCUGACCCGCAGUCCCAAUCCCAACACCAAGAACCCCCAUAUGUCGUCGUAUUAACCUACCAACCACCGCACUCCCGCCGUCUUCUAAGUAAAUCCUGUCGUCGCCGUCUAAUCUGCUUUGCCACUGUAUUGCUCUUCCUCGUCGCUGCCGCCUACCUCCUCUGGCCCUCUGACCCCGACCUCUCUAUCGUCCGCCUCCGCCUCGAUCGCCUCCACUUUCAUACCCGCCCGAAAAUCUCCCUCGAUAUCACCCUAGACAGCACCAUUAAGGUCCGGAACAGAGACUUCUACUCUAUUGACUAUGAUUCCUUACUCGUUGCGAUUGACUACCGGGGGAAGCGAUUGGGAUCUGCUGUGUCCCAUGGUGGCCACAUCAAGGUCCGUGGAACGUCGUACAUCAACGUCACGCUCGUUCUGGACGGGGUUGAGAUAUUGAGCGAUGUGAUUCUGUUGCUGGAAGAUUUGGCAAAGGGUGUGAUCCCGUUUGAUACGACGUCGCAGAUUAGUGGGAAGCUUGGUGUUUUCUUUUUCGACAUUCCUCUGAAGGUAAAUAUUGUUUACUAAUUAAGUAUAUACGGUAAAAUAUUGCUGUUUUCUGAGUUUUUAUUUAGCACAGAUUGAAGUCAAUAUGUUAUGAGCCCUUUUAAAAUAGCAAUAAAGUUAUCUAUUAUUAAUCGCUCGGGCCAAGUAAAAAAUUCACGUAAAUUCCAUAAUGUAAGGGGUGCUUUUGUGAAAUUUCAUUUGAAAGAAGAGGUUGCAGAUUUUGACUUCAGAUGUUAAAUUGCACAACUAUGGGAAUCCAGGAUAGAGGUUUUGGAUUAUUGAAACAAUAUGUGACUGCAAUGGAUUUGUGAUGAUUUUUAAUAGGAAGGGUGCAUUUAUAAGUUGUGCAAAUAAAAAAAUAAUUAGUAAUAUAGUCAGGAGCGAAAUGCAUUUCUAAGUUGUCAAGUUCUGAUUUUGGAUACCAUAAUCAAUUCUUAAUAAUCCUCAUAUUGUGCAGAUAUUUUGCUGAAGAGAAUAGGAUAUCAAUGAAAAUAGAAUCGAGACAGAUUAUUAAUAUUAAGUAGAUGGUUAAGGAUUUUCAACAACAGUAUAAUUACCUAAGAUUGUUUUACGUAUCCAGAAUUUGUGUCUAUAGAUUUGAUGAUUUAGAUGGCCAAGGGCCAAAAGCUUAAGAAUGUCAUACAAACUGUGUGAACUGUAUUAGAUGUUGCUCUUCAGGGCACAAGUUAUACUGGGGAUUAAUAUUGAGUAGAGAAAAUAAUUUGCUGAUAUGGUCCCAUUCAAAGCCUCACUCACACUUUUCACAGAAAACUCUGUUUAGGGAAAGAGUUAAACCACAAUGGAAUAAGAUACUAAUUUGUUUUCCUCCUCUUUGUUCACAUUGGCAGCCUUUGCCUCAUCUUAACAGAUUUUCCUAAACUACAGCUACACAGUGUAACUUUAAAGAAAAUGAUGGAAGUAAAAUUAACAACUUCAAAGCACACAUAAAACAGCAAAACAGAAAUGAAAAAUGCAAAACAGGAAAACAGCAUACUAAAUCUGCUCAACAGCUUCAUGGACUUUGUCAGCCCUAUGUACUUCACCCAUAAUACUUGGGAUUCUUCCUAGCUGGGCUGCUGGUUUUUCAUGGUUUAUCAUUUGCAAUAUUCAUAAAAUUCAGAGAAUAGUAAAUACUUGUCGUAUGUGUACUUGAUGGUUUUAGUUAGACUCGUGAAGUAUAAAUGGAUCAAAUGAAAUAUGAAUUGGAGGUUUCUAAUCUCUUCUUUAAUUUGUUUAAGCUAAGUGCUUUGAUGAAUGUUGAAGUGGUUUGGUGGGAAUUGCUGUUUGUUCAUGUUGGAGUUCUUGGUUAAUUCAGCGUAGGACAUAUGAAAUCCACGAGAUAGUUGCUGUUAGAUAUGGUCUUGAAUGUGGAGUAGCCCUAAUUAGUGAAUUUGGUUUUUUCUUUGCACCAUCUAUGAUCAGCCUAAAGUCAAGUUUGGAGACGAAUAUAAUCGGGACGAGUUGGAUGAUUAAGUAGCCAUUCUUGCAGAUUCAUUAUUAAAAAUUUAUAUGGAUACAUAUUUAGGAUACAUGUGAAGGAUAUUGUGACUAACAAGUUAAAAGAUUUCGUGAAUAUUUGACAAAGCUUUUAAAUGUUUAUAAGCUGGUGAAACUUCAUUUUUUAACCAUAUAUAUUUUUAUGGCCCACUGCUUUUAUUAUCUACUUUUGAACACCCUGGUACCCACAGCUUAUAAGCUUAGCUAAGCAAUAUAUAAAGAUUAUUGAUUAGAAGUUGACUUGUAUUGUAAAUGUAGAUGAAUAUACAGUUUCAUGUUACGGAAUAGAUCAUUAUGUGAUUGAUUUAAUUGAAAUGAAAUCAAGUUUGUAUUUUUUGGAAUCUUAAAAGAACUAAUUAUUGAUUAGAAGUUGACUUGUAUUGUAAAUGUAGAUGAUUACACAAUUUGAUGUUACGGAAUAGAUCAUUAUGUGAUUGAUUUAAUUGAAAUGAAAUCAAGUUUGUAUUUUUUGGAAUCUUAAAGAACUAAUCAUUUUGCUAUAGUUGGGAUAAAAGCAGGAUCAACUUUCAAUAAGAUUUGUUUAUGAGCUUGACAAAAGAUUAUAAUUGGUAUGACCAACCUUGAAAUUCAGAGAUUUUUUAUUUAAUUGACUUAGAUGGGUUACCGCUUUGCGGUCAAUGCUGUAACCGUUCUUUGUUGUUCUUAGGAACUCGAACUUCUUUAAGCCGGUUUAACUUUGUAAAUGCAUGUUACGAUGAUAAAUCUGAUGGUUCAUUAAGUUUUUCAAAUUAUGCGGAAAAUCUUAACAACCACUUUUUAACUUGUGGAGUCGUUUAACUGAUAUUCUUUCUGUUAGACCACAUUCUGUCUAUUCUGUUGUGGAGUUAGCAAAUUCUCCUUUCCUUUGUCUUCAGAGAUGAGAUGUUUCAGUUUUUGCUUUCUUUCUUUCACCAUUUCUUCUUCUCUGAUAUAUUGGUUUAAAUUAUUUACUAAAGCACCUAAAUAUUAUAAUCUUUUAAAUAAACAUGGAUUUAGCCCUGUUUGAGCUCAAUUAUAAUUUAAUACAUAUUUCUUUCUCCUUUUUUUUAACCACACAUUCUCCAAUAAAAUUAUAUUACACAUAAACCCAAAACUUUUCCUUCUUUCUUAACCACCCAUUCUUUAAAAAAAUCACUAUUCUAAAAUACAUUUUCCCCCAAAAACACAUUAAAAUAUAUCCUAAACACGGGCUUAUUAUCAAACCAGGUAGAACAGAAAGUUGGCUGUGUGUAGACCUCCUUUAGCAUUAGGUUCUAUGCUAUGUAUAUCUAUGACCUUUAAGCUGAAUAUUAAUAUUCAUAUCAAAUAUCAAAUUUAUCAAUUCCUUAUAACCCUAUUCAUGAUCUUGUGCAGGCAAAAGUAUGGUGCGAAGUCAUUGUAAAUACACGCAACCAAACAAUUGCCCGACAAAGUUGCUACCGGGAGGUAUUCUUCACAUUCUUAACUGGAUUCACCUGCAUUCUGGUUGAUCAUUUCUUGCGUGCAUACAGUUGGACUUAGUUUAGGAGCUAUUAUCCAUCCAUUACUUUCAAUUACAGCGAAUGCAGUUAAUGGCCUGCAAUUGUUAAUUUUCCCAAGCGCACCACAUAAAAACUAUCAGCACUUUAUUGACUUUCUGUUACUGACCCUACUCUUCCUUGCCCCUUCACCAUCUCGAGUUAGGUUGUGGGAGUCGCAUGAAUAGUGUAAAGUAUUGUUCUUGCAAGUAUUCUCUUAUAUUAGGAAAUACGAAUGGCAUUACCAAUUCCUAUUUUUUGGAUAGUAAUGUAUCAUUGGAUAAUGCACACAGGUUUCUGAAGAGAGCUAGGAGGUGCAUUUGUUAUAUCAUCCUGCAGUAAAUGGAAAGACACCAUGUACAUUUUCGUUAGGCUUUGGUAGGUGUCAUGUCCUAUGACACACAGCUCUUCAUGUUUCGAAUAUAACAUAGUAGCAUAUAUCACGUAUAUAUUUAUUGUAUAUGAGAAACUAUCAAGUAGACCAAUAGUUCAACCUGGAGUUGAUUCUGGUCCAUAUCCCUGUACUGCAACUACUUAUGGAACUUCACUAUUUAUUCAUCUUCAUUUAUGGUUUUGUACAAGAAUGUACUUUACUGUGCUUGGAUCCUGGCAUGCUAAUUUGCUCGUGUUCUCCCUGAUGGUGCCUACGGCUCAACGCACUUGGGUGGGGUCCGUUAGUGGCAGGUUUGUUUGCCUCCCUUGCUUGGGGGCAGAUCGAAUGAGUUUCCUUACGUAGCCACCCGAGCUAGCCGAGUUGUCUAGUUCCCAGGGAUUGGCUAUCAACAGCCUGCUAUGUGCCUUAUCUUCUAAUUGGUAUCACACGAAUGCUCGAAAGCUGCUGGAAAGGAGCAGUUUUAUCACUCUAAUAGAUAUCUGUUUACUCAGGUACCAGACAUGCAAGUGCAUGGGUGAACGUUAGUGUUAAUUUGUUUGAGAAAAAUUUAUAAUGAACUCCUACGAAAUAUAUGAAUAAUAAGUGGUAAUAGCUGUAAAUGUGUGGUUAAAAUUAAUUUUUU